UACGAGAAAUGUCAUCUUCAUCAGAUGUUGGUCUGGAAGUUGGAGCUUACUUCGCCAUGCCAGAUGACGGUCAAAUAUGUCUUGGACCAUCUGAUUGCAUUUAAUCAACAUAUUAACAGAUUGAUUUUUUUUUAUAGUGCUGACAAACCAGAAUCACCAGUCAACAGAAUGCCGACAGAUUUUUUAAAUUUUGAUCCAUCUUCUGCAAUUCCUGACUACUUACAGUGUGGGUCUGAAGUAUGCCUAGAGCAUCAAGGAUACCCUGUGUGUAAAGCAAAAGUUGUCUUUCCCAGCCAGUAUUGAAGGCAUGACUGAUAUUGAGAGGAAUGAAUUUGUACUUGAACAAAUGACCCUUAAAAGAAGAAACACAGACGUUGCAGUGUUCCCCUACAAGUCUGAAUACAGAAGUUGGGAGAAAGUUGGGAAAGGUGCACGGUUUGCAUGUUGUGUUGGUGAAGUAAAACCAGGAGAGGUUUAUGACAAUUUCGUAAAAGACAAGAAUAGAUGCCAGCAAAAGUUUACUUACUUACAGAAAAAGAAGGAGCCCCAAAAAAAAAAACAGCCAACAGAAAAACAACCAGAUCCAGAGAAUCAAGUGCCAAUUCCGGAGCCAGAACCUGUGGAGCCAGAACUUCAGGAACUUGAGAUGGAGCUUGAUCAGAUCACUAGUAGCCUGAUUUCAGUCUGAAACGGUCAUUUUGGUCUGAUCAAGUCUGAAUCGACUGAAUUUACCGCGAGAGAAAAACGUCAAGACUUUUUCAGACUUUCAGACGCCGUUCCGAUCGAUACUCCAAUUAGCAAAAGAUAGAUUGUACAACAGCUUGGUCGACGAUUUGAAGACAUCCAGCUGCUUCCCGGUACCAUGUCAAAUGUUAAAGUAUACCAGUAUAUGUCAUCUUUAUACAAUGCGGUUUGGUACAUAAGAACCAUGGAAAAGAUAAAUGAACGCUCCAAACAAUAGGUCAGUCUUACCCCAGUACCACAAAGAUUCAUGAAGUAUGACGAGUGUAACAACUGGAAAGAAAGAAAAAAAAAAAGAAACCACGUCUGAGCUGCACCGAUCUCAAACUUCACUGUAAAUGUCUUGUUUAUUUUUUAAGUGCACCUUUUGCCCAAAAGUGGUCUACAUUUCAUCCUGGCUCUAUCCAUAAGCUCCUAUGCUAGUUUUCUAGAGUAAUAAAGAGCAAACCAUCCGUCAACAGCAGCUCCAUCCUGACAGAGAGCUACAAAAACCUGUGUGGAUUGAAGACCGGAAGAAGUCUGACGUAAACGGACAUCUAACAAAAACUUGACUCGAGUCUAAAAGAGGUUGUUGACUUCUGUUUAUCAAAUUUGUUUUUCGUGUAUUGUUAAAACACAUAAAUCAGGUCGUUUGUUGUGUCGUUUGAAUGGUUCUACAUUUGUCAAUUCAGGGUAUUUUAUAGCUUACUAUGUGGUAUGGGUUUUGCUUAUUAUUGAAGUCUGUAAGUGACCUUUAGUUCUAUUUCAUUUGGUAUCUGGUGGAGAAUUUAAACUAGCAAUGAUACAACAUUUUUUUAUUACUAUAUUGAUUAAGUUUGUGAAAGACUGACUAUAUAAACGAAGAUCUGAUCAUGUACAAACUUACUGUAAUGAGGUUUUGAUUUAGAACAAGAAGGAAUUGGGUCUUUUUUUAA